rnacentral:rRNA from 1 species
UAGGGAAUAUUGCACAAUGGGGGAAACCCUGAUGCAGCGACGCCGCGUGAGUGAUGAAGGCCUUCGGGUUGUAAAGCUCUGUUCUCAGGGAAUAAAAAAAUGAAGGUACCUGAGGAGAAAGGACCGGCUAACUUCGUGCCAGCAGCCGCGGUAAGACGAGGGGUCCAAGCGUUGCUCGGAAUCAUUGGGCGUAAAGCGAGUGUAGGUGGCUUUGUAAGUCAGGAGUGAAAGCCCAAGGCUUAACCUUGGAAGUGCUUUUGAUACUGCGAAGCUUGAAUGUGGGAGAGGAUCGUGGAAUUCCAGGUGUAGUGGUGAAAUACGUAGAUAUCUGGAGGAACACCGGUGGCGAAGGCGGCGAUCUGGCCCAACAUUGACACUGAGACUCGAAAGUGCGGGGAUCAAACAGGAUUAGAUACCCCGGUAGUCC